AGGAGAUCUUUACAGAGCCGGGCUGGCAGGUUGGUGCAGUGAUGGUAUCGCAAUGGGGCGAGCUCUGCCUGGCUCCUGGGGUCAUCUGUGGCCUCCUUAGAAGGACAGUAGCCAGGACAGCGAGUGAGCCCGCUGGUGAUGGCAGUGGUUGGCAUUUCUUAAGCCUUAGGGAAUUUGGAAUAUGGAGGGAAGAGCUUCGUUAUUUGUUUUUUUUAAAAAAAGAGACAUUUAGAAGGACCGCAAACAUCACACCCAAAGGUUGACUCUUUUUAUGCUGAAAAGCGUGGGCUGGGAAGUGUGCUUAGGUCAUUAUCCUGUGGCCAGGCCUUUUCUUGGGGAGGACAAAUGGUUUUCCUGCCAGCAGUUCUGCUGCCCUUGGGGAAGAGGGAGAACCUGGCGAGGGGCCGGCGGGGAACAGGGGUUGGACUGGACCGGUCAGCCGAGGCGGCAGGGGGCCGCAUUCCCCACCCGGCCACACAGCGCCCCUGCUCGCAAAUGCAGCUCGAGUCCUCAUCUUACCAGGCUGCGGCGGCUUACCGCCCUGCCUUCUCUCUUCUCAGGUAUCUGAAAGCAGGGCUUGUCCAGCGAGUAGAUUAGAAGAGGAUAUGCCAACUUGUUCCCAUACUUGAAAGCCGGAGAAAGCCCUGCUGUGAGGAGAACAAACAGAACCUGUUUGGUGGCUUGUCAUUUCAGUGACAACACGAACCUUUCACAGUUCCCCGGAGAUGCUGGUGCUGCAGCCUCCUCAGACAAGAGGAAGACAAGAGGAAGGCAAGAGGAAGGCAAGAGGAAGGCACGGGCCUUGGUGAAGAGGCAGAGCAUGAAAAGCAGGAGACUGAGAAUAGGCAAGUCGAUAGAGCCAGAAAGUAGCUAGUUCACUGGUGAAAGGGGCCGGCUGCCAAGACAGUGCUUCAUGAAAGUCAAGUCCUAAUCAAAAUGCCAAAUUUUCUCAAUGUGCCGCUCCUCUCUAAGGAGAAUACACAACUGCCAGAUGACACGGGAGGCAGUUCAAGUUGGCUCAAUGAUCUUCCAGAAAGGAAAAUGCUUGAAAACAAGCAGAGGUCUGCGCAGAAGGUGCUGGAACAGGACAGCGACGUGUCCUCCUAUAGACAGCGAGAGAAACAGGGAGCCAAGUGGGGUACGUGGCAGGAUUACGGGGUCACACACAUCCACACACGCAUCCUGAGAAUAUACGUUCAUCGUACACUUCCUGAAAGUCGAAUCUGCAAUGACUUUGCCACAGUUAUGCUGCACUGGGUACAAUGCUCGGCGCUCCAGGGCACAGAGAAGAGUCAGACACAUUGCAGUCCCACUGUGGGACGGUACCGGAGAGGAAAGAACCAGAGGAGGAUAGGUGUUCUGGACGUUCACCCCAAAGUGAUGCCCCGGAGGGAGACUGCGAGAAUUAGGAAGGGUGUGAGAUGCUGGGCGGGGGGUCGGGGGGGCGCUCUCCCUUUCCGUCUCAUCAUUAGUGGUCAAAGGAAAAACUCAGAAGACUACUGACGAGUCAGAGAUACGACCCGGAGAGCACGGAUCCAACAAGAAGCUGGGGCGGGCUAAAGCGGAAUCACACGCAACCUGGAAGCUCAGAGGGCACUCGCCAAGAGGCUGUUGUCAGUAAGCCUGGACUGCGUGCUGGCCGGCACGUCCUUCCAGUCACCCUGGGGAAAGAAUUAUUUUCCCAUCACCCCCGUUUGUAACUCAGGAAGAAAGUAACUAAGGAACACAGUGACUGACUAACCCUUCCCAGGUUCCAAAGGAGACGAAUUUGAAUGUGAACUCGAGCCUGUCACUAAUACGCUGUGUUUGUUACUAUUCUGAGCUGAUUUUUAGGAUACAGACUGGUUAGUAAAAAAGAAAGGAACUUUAAACAUGCAUAAGGUGGGGUUUUUUUUGGAUUUGAGAGAAAUCAUAAGUAUAUCGGGGAAUGUUCUGCUGAUACCUAUUCAGCCCUACCGCAAAACCUAUGCAGACCAAUACUGACGGCUCAGAAAUCCUUCCCCAAAGGCAGUUAAUGUUGUUCUCACUCUACCCACCUUGACCUUCUGAUAUUUAUAAAUGUAAGAGAUUUGUAGUCUCUCCCACCUUUGAACCUAAUAUUUCCAAUAUAUUAUUAAAAAAUGUCCAUGAUAAAAAGGUCUUUUUAAGAUUGUAUUUAUUUAUUUGAGAGGGAGCACGAGCAGAGGGAGGGGCAGAGGGAGAGAGAGAAGCAGACUCCCCGCCGAGCAGGGAGCCCAA